UACGUAGGGUGCAAGCGUUAAUCGGAAUUACUGGGCGUAAAGCGUGCGCAGGCGGCUUUGCAAGACAGAUGUGAAAUCCCCGGGCUUAACCUGGGAACUGCAUUUGUGACUGCAUGGCUAGAGUGCGGCAGAGGGGGAUGGAAUUCCGCGUGUAGCAGUGAAAUGCGUAGAUAUCGAGAGGAACACCAGUGGCGAAGGCGAGUCUCUGGACAUUUCCUGACGCUGAGGCACGAAAGCCAGGGGAGCAAACGGG
rnacentral:rRNA from 1 species